UACGUAGGGUGCGAGCGUUGUCCGGAAUUAUUGGGCGUAAAGAGCUUGUAGGCGGUUUGUCGCGUCUGCCGUGAAAAUCCGGGGCUCAACCCCGGACUUGCGGUGGGUACGGGCAGGACUAGAGUGUGGUAGGGGGAGACUGGAAUUCCUGGUGUAGCGGUGAAAUGCGCAGAUAUCAGGAGGAACACCGAUGGCGAAGGCAGGUCUCUGGGCCACUACUGACGCUGAGAAGCGAAAGCGUGGGGAGCGAACAGG
rnacentral:rRNA from 1 species